UGCCCUCUUGAGCUCGCUGAGGCGCUGCGAGAGCCUGGGGAGCUGCGUUGUCAGCCCGUCUGGGGGCUUCGCAAUGGUUUUCCCCUCCUCGGGGCUGAUCUGGGCCUUGUCAGUGCGAAUGGGGCUGUUUAACAGUGCCGUGUAGAUGUGCUUCAUUUUGUACAGGUCUGGAGGCGGGAUCCGCAUCUCCAGACGGCUCCUCUUAAAUCUGAGUGAAGUCUGAAAAUAAGCACUUCCAGAUCGCAUCUGUGUGGAAUUUUCAAAGAAAGCACGGCCGAACAGGUGACACCUCCUUACAGGCAGUCUCCAUCACUUUUGCCAUCAGCAUCAGGUUUGAUGUCCGUCGUAAUUUAAGAAGACACGUGAGGGAUGAAGUAGAAAUGUGGGGAGGGAAAAAAAAGAAAGCAUACUUUCGAAAGGGAAAAAGAAGGAAAGGAUGGCAGUGGUGGCAAAGGGUGCCUGCAGCCAUCUGCUGCGCUGCUUCUCCUCGUCCCCUGCCCUGUGUUCUCCCAUGCCACCUCUCUGAGCCUCUCUGUGGCACUUAUCACCACGAUCUAAACAUAUUUAGUCUGUGUUUGCAGCACUGCGUGAUUUCCGUCAUUUACUUCUUCCCACUUCAAGCUCCAGAGGUAUAGGAAAUCAGAUGGCUUGGCUUGUAAAUAACCUUGUCGGAGGUGUUUACAGUCAUAUAUUAGCAGAUCUGAAUCUGGAAUGAAAGAAUUUAUGGCCAAUGCCCUCUUUUAAGUUGUAUUUCUGUUUAUCUGAUCCUCACUUAUAAAUGCCUCUAAUUAAGCUAUAAACUCUUCGUUUCUACUUAACCAUCUGGGUAGCCUGGGAAGCUUGAGACAGAAAUGUAAUUUACCCACACCACAGCCACGUCUGCAAUGCAAAUCCAGCACAACUGCUUCCCGAGGGUUACAGCCUGCUCCAAUUUCCACUACACGGACAGAAAUAAAGCUUGUCCGAACUACCAGUGUAGGUCCUCACUGGGAAUGACAGGACACUGUUUGUUCAGGAAUGAAAAUGCACCUGGAACCCUGCGAACAGUGGGAGAUAGCAUUCUCAGUUGGAUUUUAGGGAAGAUUUCUUCUCAGAAAGAGCAGUGAGGUGUUGGAAUGAGCUGCCCAGGGACUGGGUGGCAUCACCAUCCCGGGAGGUGUCCAAGAACCAUGGAGAUGUGGCACCAAGGGACAUGCCUUUCCCCCAAGAACAUGGCCAUUUCAUUGCCUGGAGAUGUUUCCAUUUGCACAGGAGAUGCUGAGAUGGAACAACCUUCUGUUGUCCCUGCUUGGAGAGAUGGAACAGCUUUGGAAGCAUAUGCCCGAUCCCACGUGCACUGAGACAUUUGAUUAUUAGCUGUUCAUACGACCAACUCAGAUUUGUAAGCAGUACGUGGAAAAGAUUUCAUAGAAGGCAAUGGCUAUUAUUUUGAAUAAAUACCACUGAUGCUGUUAUUAAAUUUGAUUCACUUAAAAUUUACACUUUGAGAAGCUGGAGUGCUAGAAGCUAAGGGUAAUAAUAUUUCACACCAUUUGUCCUUCUUCUCUGUCAUGGCACAUGCGUAGGCCAACCCCUAGCUCAAACAGCUUUUGUUUCACUGUGUUACUGUCCUAACAUGAUUUAAACAGAGGUCAUUAUUUAACUGCGCAGGAGAUCUUAAUCUUUCACUUAAAUGUAAAUUGCCAAG
ensembl:lncRNA